rnacentral:snRNA from 1 species
AUCAUUUCUUUAAAAAAUUAUCUGUUUGUAUCAGCUUAAUAUCAGAUAUGUCCUCUAUCUGAGGAUUAUAUAUUUAGUGGAUUUUUGGAACAGAGACAUAAAAUAGGAGCUUGCGCCAUCCACUCUGUGCCUCAACCUAAUAUUGCAGUACCUGCAGGAACAGGGCACCUCCU